AUUGAACGCUAGUGGGAUGCCUUACACAUGCAAGUCGAACGGAGUGGCGAACGGGUGAGUAAUGUAUCGGAACGUGCCCAGUAGCGGGGGAUAACUACGCGAAAGCGUAGCUAAUACCGCAUACUUUUGGAGCGGGCGAAAGCGGAUUAGGGAGUUGGUGGGGUAACGGCUAACCAAGGCGACGAUCCGGAGCUGGUUUGAGGGGACGAGCAGCCAAACUGGGACUGAGACACGGCCCAGACUCCUACGGGAGGCAGCAGUGGGGAAGUGGGGACAAUGGGGGAAACCCUGAACGCGCCAUCCCGCGUGUGCGAUGAGGGCCUUCGGGUUGUAAGGCACUAUUGGCAUGAAAGCGGUACCUGCAGAAUAAGCACCGGCUAACUACGUGCCAGCCGCCGCGGUAAUAC
rnacentral:rRNA from 1 species